GGCUCCCGGAGCAGCACCUCUCCUUCCUUUUCCGGUCGCCGCGGCGACUCGGUUGCUUAGCGAAAGGCGAGGUUUUGGUAACUCGGGACAUGUGUGCAGAUGGGGCCAAAGAUGGGCAUGGAGCCCAGGAGCAUUAGGACUAUUGCCGGGAGGAGGAUCUCCGGACACCAGUAGUGGGCGGGCCUGCCUCAAUUGGAACCUCGGAAGCUGUGGGCUUCUUGGCUCACUCUGAAAAUUUGCCCACAACCGACGCAGGACGUCUUGGCCGACUUGAUGUGGGCUUCGGGACGGUGAGCAGCACCGUGAUUGAUUCAUCCAACGAGUAUUUAUUGAUUGUCUUCUGUGCGAAUGGCACGAGUCUAGGCGGUGGAGAUACUGCAGUGAACAGAUCAGACAGCCCUGCCUCCUGGAGCUGACAGUCUAGCAGGGGGAGGCAAACACAUGAAUAAGUAAAAGAGACAAAUGUCCACUUCUGCCCAUGAAAGAGCAACAAGGAUAAGAUUUUCCCUCCCUCUUGAAAGAGCUAAAGAACUGGACAAAAUAUAUGAAACAAUGGUCUUCAAGAUACUGGACAUCAGAGAACAAAAGAGUGAACCCUGAGAGACAAGAAAUAAAUGAGCUCCCCAGACAGACCCACACUAGACCCUGGGAGUUCCCAGAUGAGAGCUAUAGAAGAAUUGGCAGGUCACCAGCCCUGAAAAUGGGGCUGGGAAUCCCCGCCACUCCCACUGCUGCCACAGGAAGUCAAGAUGGAGACAGGCAUCCAGGAAAGGAAAAGAAUUUGCCUCUCUGAGAACCCGAAGGACUAAGUCAGGCUCACCUUCCCUUCGUCACCUCACCCAGGAGAGCACUGCCAAGGCCACCAAUCUUAGGACAACUCCUCAUUGGCAGAAGAGACGUUCGAUCAUUAGCUCGUGCUGCUUUCCUAGCUGCAUUCAAACAAGUAGAUUUUAAAUAUCUGAAUUGUUUUUUCAUACAGCUGGCCCCACCCAUUCAUCGGUACCAGGCGGGCCCUUGCAGAGGCUGAGUCCAGCCUUGAUGUGGCCGGGCAGCCCAGGAGGCUGGGCAGCAGGCUGUGCUGGGUGUACCCAAUUGCUGCCCAGUUAGGCCUGGUGGGGAGGCUUUUGGUGGCAUUGCCAGGCAACGUGGGUAACUGGAGAGGCCACAGACUGGGCUCCUGGGCCACAGAGAUUAACAGCCUCCUCAUCACACUGCAAGCCAUCAUCAUGCCCGGCUCCAGGGGCCUGCAGCAGUCUCUCUGUGGUUGUAGCCUGAAAGACUGCUUUUUUAGCUACAGAAAUUAAGAACUGCUUUUCGAUAUUAUGGGUUCGUGGUUGUGGUUGUUUUCUCUUUGCUACAUCUCUGAGGAUUCACAUGGAAUAAAUACGCAAAAGAUUUAAAAACAAAAAAUGCCUUCACAAACCCCCCUUUUCCAAAAGUUUCCCUUCUUCCUGAAACAAAGCACACUUGCCCUCAAUGGUGAAGGCCGCUCGGGCAGAGCCAGGCUGUCUCCGGAGGUCUCUGCAUGCCCACUGCGUGUGGAAAGCUACUCCCCUGCAACCCCACAACUGUGGCUGUGGUUCAGGGUGGGGAACCAGGGCCUUGGCCGCGUGCAAGGCCUCUCAGCAGAGUCAUUCCUUGUGUCUCUCUCAUUCAAAGACAGUCAUGAUACCUCCCCUUCCCAGUUUAUAGAACCACUUUCACUU